UUUUUUUUUUUUUUUUUGCACAGAUGCUGUAAUGUUUGCCUCGGGGAUUUGCUGGUAUUUAGUGGAAUCAAAUCUUCAUUCCACCUGAGCAAUACUUCCCGUCCCACUGGCUGCAACACAACCGCAAAGCAGGAUUGAUCCACCCUCAUAUUCAACAGCUGGCAAUACUUCUUUUUUCUCCACACAUACUUUUGCCUAUUGUGGCCAAAGAGUCCUAUUUUCACUUCAUCACACUGUAGUUUAUGAUGAAGACACAGGUUAAAGGUUUCCUUCUGCAGACUCUGCCAUGAAGGUCUUGUCUGUGCAAGUAUAGCUACAUAGUGGAAGGGUGUACCACCGCUCCUGAGUCUGCUCAAUCUUGCUCCAGGUCUUUUGCUGUCAAAUGUGAGUUUUCAUUUUCCUUUCCAGACGUUCUCUCAGACAGUUCUCUCCUUCUUGACCUCCACAGUUCCCCUCAACUGCCAUCUCUUAAUUAUAUAUUGCACUGUGGAAGCUACAAGCUGAUAACGCUUUGCUAUCUUUUUGUAGCCUUCUCCUGCAUUGCGGGCAUCAAUAUAACCUUUAUUACAGCUGUCAAGAGGAACCCAUAGUUGUUAAAUGUUUCCACAGGUUUGUUGAGUCAGAGAGUAUUUAAAAAAACUCUGAAAUUGGCAUCAGUUGGCGCUCCCUAAUGACAAUUGUUGACACAUGCUUCAGGCCAAACGAGCUGAUAAAGGUCUGAGCUUGUAAAACGAAUCUGACACUUCUAAACUCUCACAGCUCACUUUUUUGCAAAUGCAGAAAUGAUCCUACUGAGCCAUAGACGACUAUUAGACAUCUAGUUUUUUUUUUAAGACCAAAUUUUAACUGUCUAGAUUCUGUAUAUUUUUGGAAGGAAUUUAGACGUUGCACUUUAACCCAUUAUUUCAAAAAGAAACUGUGAGUUGCAUAACUGAUCUCCAAGUACUUAACCAAAAUAAUUAUGAUAGCGGUUGAGCAAUAUACAGUGUAGUAUAGAUAUAGUCGGCUAGUCUAAACUUCGUCCAAAUUUACACCCCUAAAAACCUUACAUUUUUAGACCUGUGGUAGCCUGAUUUUAGACCAGUCGUCUAGGCUACAUUUAGACGUCUAUUAGACCUCUUUUAGACCAAAAAAUGCUCUGUGGGACGUUUUUAUUUUUCUAUUUUUGUUCAAUUUAUGAAAUAAAAAGUAACUAUGCAUUAAUGUUUCCUGAAAUAUAUAUAUUUUUUAAAUACCAGAGAGACUAUAGAUAUAAAUUGUAUAAUACAUACAAUUUUCAGCUCCUUCCCGCGCGACAAGGACAAGACGAAACAUAACUCCUCAAAAGUGAAUUUUUAAGAGGUGCACAAACUUUUGCAAACAAAUGUAAAUCUAUGUGUUUAUCAUACACUCUGACUCUUACAGACUUAUAUCUUUGACCUGGUUUUUCCAGAAGAGUUAAGACCUAAGCUCAAAGAUCUCAAACUAGGCAAAGGUUCGUAAGGGAUUAAAAGGUCUAAAAUAUAAUCUGGACUUGGGUCAUGAAGGGUCAUAUAGGUAAUCAAUGGGCUCUUACAAUCAAUCCUUAAACUAACAGGGGGCCGGUUUAAAGAGGCUUAAAAAGAGUGAUACGAUGGUACCAUGUGGCCCUGAUAGUUUAGAGAUCUUAGUGAAGGUGGAGGAGGAGGAAAAGCAAGAAGAUCAGUUUCUGCAUCUCAAAUGUGAAAAAGGAAACAGACCGUGGGCGAAGAGAGUGAGUCUGCAUUUGCACUGAACAGAGUGAAGGUGAGCACUUGAUGUUAACAGGUUGAAUGUCACUUUAGCUUCAAAUGUGAGCAUGCAAGUAUUUGAAAAUGGCGCAAAAUACGAGGCAAACCAACUCCAGCAUUUUAACCAAUAUAUGCAGAGCUGCCUCAGGGAAAAGGAAGUAAAACUGAUUUUUAAAAAGGAAGUUGAAGCUCUGUGAUGAAGAUUAGUGAGGAGGAAUCAAGACGUUUAGAUGCAAGUAUUUGAAAAUACUUAAGAGCUAAUCAAAAAUCAAUUCCUUAUGAGCAGGUAGCCGAUGGACAGACUUUAAAAUGGGUUUAUUGGGGUUUCUCUAUUUCUGGAUUUUUGUCAGGGAGACCAGAAAUUAAAUUACACAAACUCCUGCUUCUGACCAUCAGUGUAAACACCAGCUGCUGUAACCAGGCUGAUCCAGCAGGUGGUACCAAAGAUCCAGAGUUGACCCUGAUCGUGAAGCUGUUUUUCUCAGACAAAGAGACUGCACACAUCUCCAGAGCAUCAAAGUGGAUCCUUCUUAUGUCACACCAAGGCCGCUCGACCUGUUUUAUUGAUCGUAUGAACAGACGGUCGUUUGUUUAUCUCCAUUCAGAAAAGACUGAAUUACAUCAGCUGAGUCUUUGAUAUCUGAGAUCCUGAAUGAGACCUGCUCCUCUCUCUGUCCUGCAGCCGAAAUCUUCUCCACUUUCUGCUGACAAAGGCUUCUGUCUCUCUGCUAUGUGUGUGUGUGUGUGUGUGUGUUUGAAGUUGACACUAAAUGGGGAACAAUGAGUCAUUUCAUUGUCGAGGAAUGAUGUCAUCUUCCUCCUGCAGCCGGCAGGUAUUGUGUACGAGCCGCUGCCUGUCCUCACUGAACCGGUGGGAAGGAGGAAGACGGCGUUUGGCUGCCAGCUUUGUCCUCCUCGCUCUUUGUUCUCAGAGGGACGUCUUAGUUUGACCCCGUCUGUUUGUGUGUUGGUGUUGAACAGGUGCAGAGCAGCCCCUGUAUCUUCAUCUGGUUUGAUUUUAUGCAUGCUGGUCUGUGGUAACCUCACAGGCCGUGUAGAGAGAGGUCAGAAGUUGCGGGUUCAAAAAGGGAACCCACUGUGAAGGCCUUUUCAACUUGUUAGUUCUGGACUAUUAAAAUACAUGUAAAGAUGAACCAUCAUACUUAGAUAAUUCAAGCAGGGAUCGAUUUGUCUUCCAGGUAUAUCCUUCAGUCAGACUCAAACUGGCCUUAACAGUCUGUGCAUGCUCCUUACAUUGCACAUGAGGGUUUGACCUUGACGUUUCACAGCACAGAUGCAUUAAAGGAAACCAGGUAGUGAACAAAACCUUACCGGAAAAUCAACGCUGCUAAGGCACACUUGUUUUCACAGAAAUGGGAAAUGGUUUGAUCCAAGGACAUGAUGUUUGACAGCUCUCAUUAAAGGGAUAUUCCAGUGUAAAAUCAAUUUAUGGUUAAACACACCAUAACACCGAGGU
rnacentral:lncRNA from 1 species